rnacentral:rRNA from 1 species
UACGUAGGGUGCAAGCGUUGUCCGGAAUUAUUGGGCGUAAAGAGCUCGUAGGCGGUCUGUCGCGUCGGCUGUGAAAGCCCGGGGCUCAACCCCGGAACUGCCUUUGAAACUAGAUUGCUAGAAUCCUGGAGAGGUGAGUGGAAUUCCGAGUGUAGAGGUGAAAUUCGUAGAUAUUGGGAGGAACACCAGUGGCGAAGGCGGCUCACUGGACCGGUACUGACGCUGAUGCGCGAAAGCGUGGGGAGCAAACGGG